rnacentral:lncRNA from 1 species
UAUCUUUGUAAAAAAAAAAAAAAAGUGAGAAAAAAUGCAUAACAAACCAAAAUGUAAUUGCACACCAAACAUAAUCACUUUGUUAAUAAUAAACUGGGUUAGCUGUAGUUGAUGAGUUAAUUAAUGUGGGAAAAACUUGCAAUUCACAUGAAUAAUACUGUUUUAUUAUUUUUAACUAAUUAUAUUUUGUUACUCAUAAUAAGAAUUUC